rnacentral:rRNA from 1 species
CCUGUAGAGGUGCUGCAUGGCUGUCGUCAGCUCGUGUCGUGAGAUGUUGGGUUAAGUCCCGCAACGAGCGCAACCCUUGCCAUUAGUUGUCAGCGAGUCAUGUCGGAUACUCUAAUGGGACUGCCGGUGACGAGCCGGAGGAAGGUGGGGAUGACGUCAAGUCAGCAUGGCCUUUAUGUCCAGGGCCACACACGUGCUACAAUGGACGGUACAGAGGGACGCAAGACCGCAAGGUGGAGCAAAUCCUCAAAACCGUUCUCAGUUCGGAUUGUAGGCUGCAAUUCGCCUACAUGAAGCUGGAAUUGCUAGUAAUCGCAGAUCAGCUACGCUGCGGUGAAUACGUUCUCGGGCCUU